UACGUAGGUGGCAAGCGUUGUUCGGAAUUACUGGGCGUAAAGCGCACGUAGGCGGCUUUGUAAGUUAGAGGUGAAAGCCUGGAGCUCAACUCCAGAAUUGCCUUUAAGACUGCAUCGCUUGAAUCCAGGAGAGGUGAGUGGAAUUCCGAGUGUAGAGGUGAAAUUCGUAGAUAUUCGCAAGAACACCAGUGGCGAAGGCGGCUCACUGGCCCGGUACUGACGCUGAGGUGCGAAAGCGUGGGGAGCAAACAGG
rnacentral:rRNA from 1 species